CAGUAGCCGCGGGAAUACGGAGGGUGCAAGCGUUAAUCGGAAUUACUGGGCGUAAAGCGCACGCAGGCGGUCUGACAAGUCAGAUGUGAAAUCCCCGGGCUUAACCUGGGAACUGCAUUUGAAACUGUCAGGCUGGAGUCUUGUAGAGGGGGGUAGAAUUCCAGGUGUAGCGGUGAAAUGCGUAGAGAUCUGGAGGAAUACCGGUGGCGAAGGCGGCCCCCUGGACAAAGACUGACGCUCAGGUGCGAAAGCGUGGGGAGCAAACAGGAUUAGAUACCCGUGUAGUCCCUGUCUCUUAUAU
rnacentral:rRNA from 1 species